ensembl:lncRNA
AUUCAAUCAGUCAUUUUCAAAAUUAAAACGUUCAUAUUACAAGCAGUGAUUCAGCAUCGGUUCAAGGAGGGUAGAGACUGGUGCAUCCCUUCUUCUUAUCAACAGCACUACCUCAUUUAUUUUCAGGACGGUUUCCAGUGUGAUUUAAGUAGUUUUAUGUAACUAGCACCUUUUGAGAUCUUAUUCUUAACUUGUCUGAUUUUACAGCAUUUAAUAUUUGAAGGAAUAAUCAUCCUGCAGUGACUGUAUGUGUUAUUUCAAACUGGAAAUUAUGUCUCUUUAGUGCGUUGCAGCUUCCUCUCAGAUUUCAAAUAGAUUGUGUCUGUCAGUGUAAAGUUACCCUUUCCUGCAACAUUGCUCUACUGAAAAAAAAAAUACAUAACCCUAUGGCUUUGAUGUGAUGCAUCUGAAACUCAUCCACCCAGUGGCAUGUGGUUUCAGAACUAUACUUCCAGUCAAAGUAGAACCAAAUACAGGAACGUUCUACCAGUUUCUGUAAUCCGGUCAUUCAAUCCAAUGUUAGGGUUUUUAUUGGGUUCUAAUGAUAAACAAAAUGUUGGAUUAUGACUUUUUUGAAUUUAAGUUGCCCUAAAUAUAAGGUAAAAUUGUGAAAAUACUUGAAGCAGGCUAUCAAAUUGGGUUUUUUUCUUGCCUGCUUCAGGUCACUAAUGUAUAAUAAGAGUUCUGGCCUGGAUACUUAGUGCAUGAUGACAAGGACGUGCGACACUCAUUACUCAUCAGACAAAGUAAUUCAUAGCUACAGAUGGCUCAAGUCUUUGCAUACCUUUUACAACUUACAUUUUCAAAAGGCUUUAUCAGGUGCUUCACUUCAAAAAGAGAGUUUUUAAAAUGAUAAUACUGUUCUGGGGGGACUUUUCUUUUUUUUUUUUUCUUUUUUUUUCUGUAGAUUCAACUCUAAAACAAUAGCAGGUCCGCAGAGCUUGUGAGCAGUAAUAAUAAUGUCAUCUAUCUCAAAAUAUAAUCUUAGCAUUGAGUCAAGCCCUGUUUAUGAUGUCUCAUCUUCUCUCAGGUUGUUUUUCUAGCAGUGAUAAAGGAGCUCAAAUACUUCAGCAGCAGAAAUGUAAAUUGUUGUUUGUUGACAUUAAUGAAAAAAGCUCAGUGUGUUCAGUGUUCCUGCUAAAAAUGCUUUCCUUGCCAAAAUUUCUCAAAAAAUUUUUUUGCCUUGACCUUUAUCUACCCAACAUCAAAGUAUGACUGCCAUUUAUUUAUUUAUUUUUCACAUACAAUAGCAGUCAUUUACAGACAGAAAUGAAUGUGUGGAAACCCUGUGUGAAACAUUGAUUGGAAAUUAAUUAAGAAAGAAAGUGAUAUUUGUUGCAUCUGGAUGAUUCACUGCCAGUUACAGAAAUUAUUAUUACACAUCUUCAAAAUGCCACAUUAAAAAGGUCUGGCACUCAGUUUAAGGUUUGUCUAACCCACUUAAGUGGUCCAUAGAAGGCAAAUCAACCAAAUGCUCACAUGGUAAAAAAUUGCUGCUGCACUAUUGUGCACACAAGUCUAAACUGGUAAGCAUGUUUUACAUGUGACCAUUUUCCAAACAGUGAUUUCCAAGCAGGUUUCCUUUUACUAGUAAAGUAGCAUACCUGCUAUGAUAUACAAUUUAAAGGUUUAGUGAACAAUGCAGCCACAGCUUUCUGACUCGUGCUUUAAGAUUUGCCUUUUAUAAAAGUUAAAGCAAAGCACCAACUUUUUUUAAAUUUUAUUUUACACGCGAAAUUCACUGUUACUGAUCUCUACUUAGCGCCUACUCUAAGUAGGUAUCCUUAAAAGGCAUGUAUGUCCUGAAUACUGGCAGAAACAUUCUCAAAAGCAUUCCAGUUUGAUAUCUUCAGCAUACCUCUCUCAGUCCAAGUCAGCCAUGAUGAGCCAUGCUCAGAAAAGAAGUACUAAUUCACUCAUAAUGUGCAACUUCUGUUUGGAUAAGCUUUGUGUUUGGAUGGAAAUCACUGAAUCAAGGCAAUGUUAGAAAAUCACAGUGAAAACGUACAAUGACAAAAAAAAAUCUUAUGAGCAAAGAUUUAAUGAAGCUCACAACUAUCAUUUUCAUUUUCAAAACACUGCACUGAAUGUAGGUGCUGUUCUUUCAGACUCUAUUGUCACUGCACAUAAAGUGUAGCCAUAGAGAUGGUAUAUUCUCUAUACCAAUGCACCAUUUUUUGUCAUGGACAAUUUAAAACAAUUGAAAAUUAGUUAGUUUGUGCUUGGGAGUUAAUCAAGUGAAGACACCAUCAGAUCCACCAUGAAGGAAUUUAAUUUCAUGACGUUGCAGUUGCCAAAAUCUUAGGUAGACAUAGUUUAAUGCCCCCCCCCCCCCCCCCCCCCCCCCCCAACUGAUAUUUCACUUCUAUCUGGUUGUUUCACUUAUGUAUUAAGUCUUGAUGCAGUAGUGAAUUAUUAUGGUGUGUGGAGGUGACAGAGGAUAUGAAAUGGCGAUUAGCAUAACCCUGCCUGCAGCAUAAAUGAUGUAUACUCUCCUAAUAGGAGCUCUGUUAACACUAUUAGCCACUCUUUUGAGUAUAUGUAUAAAACCUUGGUUUCUUUGUACACCUUUUUGUUGGCUAGAACAAUCACAUUUCUAAAGAAAAAUUGACUCAUUCUCUCAUUUUGUAGAGAAGAUAAUUACUUUGAUAAUUAUGUUGAUUUCGUCUUCUUUUUGUAAGGGUUAAUUAAAACACUAUACCUCAUGUUGGUAACUUCAUUUGAUUCUGAUCAGUCUCUUGAUACUGCACAUUUUGUAAACAAGUAGAACAUUAAAGGUAAGAAUACUGUUGUUUUGUUAGCCAAGUGUUUUCACAGAGGAUGGGACUUGUGAUUCAUUUUACCUCAGUGUGAGUUUUUACUCAUUAUAGUGACUUGGAUUGUCUAGUCCUGCACUGAGGAGUUCAACACAUGAGAGGAGGGAUUAAAGGAAACCAUUCAAAUGUUGUUUAUUAUUUGGCAAUAUGAGUAAUUACCAAGAUUUUCUAAAAGUUUAAAGGCAAAAAUCAUAAAAAAGGAAAAAAAAUGACUAAAUCUGCUAAACUGUAAACUAAAGUAUUUUUUUUCCUAGGGAGAAGGGCUAAAGAGAACCCCUCCUGAGGCAGGUUAUACCUCUCAGUGCAGACAGAUUUCUAUAGAAAUAAAAGUCUCUUCUCAACUCAGGUCUCCCAUCUUUGCAUAAAAGGAUCAUGCCUGCAUAUUCAAUUCAGAUACGUGUCAUGUGUUGUCAAACAAAGCCUCAUUUUGUCUUUUUGGGAAUUAAAUCAAGGAAAAUCUUAUGCACAGAUGAUACGUUGUUUUGUACAAAUCACUCAGUGCAUUUCUAUCUCUAGCUUUUCUUUGUACGUUCUGGUGCUUUGUGGUGAGCUGCUUUGUCCAGUGAUGUCACAAUGUUGUACUUUUUUUGUGGUACAUUAUCUCUAGUUUUGUGUUUACCCACCCAGUUCUGCCUCUUUUAUUAUGUAUGCACAGACUAUAGUCAUGUGCCACCAGCGAUGCUCUGCAGCUACUCAGACACCUUUGUAAUCAUUGCGUGUCGAGCAAAAUGUCAUUAAUCGCAUAUGCUAAUGUAGAAGCAAAUUGUAGGAGCACUUAAUAGAUUAGCAUUUCAUCUUUGGCCACGAGCAAAUCUGGUCUGUCAUCUUUACAUUUCUAGAAGUGCAAUUUUCUUAGUGUGUAAAACAAGAGAUGGAUUACUCAGUGUUAGUCAUGGUGAUGCUGGCCAUGUGAUAGAUGCAUUGCUAUUUCAAAGGAAUCAGUCACAGAAUAGGUAUUACUUGUGGUUUGUAGAAAUAUUUCCGCUGUGUUACCAUAUGUGAAAAUGUCGAAACUCACAGCAACUGUGAGGACUUCUCUUCUGUAAAUAAACAUUUAAAAAAAUACAUAUAUAAAC